rnacentral:rRNA from 1 species
GACGAACGCUGGCGGCGUGCUUAACACAUGCAAGUCGAACGGAAAGGCCCUGCUUGCAGGGUACUCGAGUGGCGAACGGGUGAGUAACACGUGGGUGAUCUGCCCUGCACUUCGGGAUAAGCCUGGGCAACUGGGUCUAAUACCGGAUAGGAGCCAUUUUUAGUGUGAUGGUUGGAAAGUUUUUUCGGUGUAGGAUGAGCUCGCGGCCUAUCAGCUUGUUGGUGGGGUAAUGGGCUACCAAGGCGGCGACGGGUAGCCGGCCUGAGAGGGUGGACGGCCACAUUGGGACUGAGAGACGGCCCAGACGCCGACGGGAGGCAGAAGUGGGGAAGAUUGCACAAUGGGCGCAAGCCUGAUGCAGCGACGCCGCGGGGGGGAGGACGGCCUUCGGGUUGUAAACGCCUUUCGCUAGGGACGAAGCUUUUUGUGACGGUACCUAGAGAAGAAGCACCGGCUAACUACGUG